GCUUACAUAUUUAAAAUGUGUCUUAGGAUGGUAUGGAUGAUCCUCUGGAGAUGUCCGUUUUUCUCCAUUCACUACACGAGGAGUGUUGUAUGAUUAGCUCAGGCCUAGGCAUCUACACGUUAAAUGCCUCAGGGCAUAUAAAUCCCCCAAAUGAGAAGCCUGCUCAGGCUCAAGAAGUAUGUCAGUCUGUGUCUCUAGUUAAUGUCCCAGAGAACACAACCACACAGUUUUGGGGGGUUUGGGCCUACUCUGAGUACAUUGAUAAGUCAGGUCCUACAUCUGGCACAGGUAGAAAGUGCCUGGGCUAGGAAUUCUGGAAGGCAAGACAGGAGAUACUGUGUGCUGUCAGAUCAGAAACGUCCAUUUACACAUCCAAUGGCAAAGACAGUCUGUAGUACACCUUCCCCACAGAAAUAUGGAUGCUCAGGGAGAUUAGGGGCAGGAUCGAGUAUGUAAUAAAACACCUAAACAUAGUUGUUUACACAUAGAUGUAUGCCUACAAGCUAACUAGGGGUGUAAGCGCCCAUUAGAUGACUGGAGCUCUGGUCAAUACAGUCCACGCAGCUCUCAAAGUGAUUCAGCCAACCAACCAGUCACAUAUAGGCGUAGCUGGCCUACGCCUGUGUGCGAUAAGCAUACACCUAGUAGGUGUAUCGUUCCCUUUGAGAUGUCCUAGAGUAGCCAAGACGACUGCGUGGGGCUGGCAGCUAUACCGAGGACGUACUGAGCCUACGGAGCAGCAGUGCCCUUCUGCAGCAGAAGAGGUAUACGCUAAGGGACCUCCAAGGGCACUUGGACGCCUACAUUUGGGCUUCUGAAUCACACUCUCGGUUUGUCUUCCAGGAAGAAGAACCUCUUUCUAGGUUCCACUGCCAAAAUUACUAGCUUGCCUGGUGCAGUCCAGGAGCCCUUCGGCAGAACUUAAUGGUAUCACCUAAGCCUGCGUGAAUUUCUGGCAAGUAAAUGUCAUUUCUUACCAGCGGUGUCAGGCAGCUGACCUGCUGAUGCACCAUAGUCAAGCCCUGCUGCAGGAAAGCUGAGCAUGCCAACCCAAGCAGCUGGUUUCAGUCCAUCGCAAGGGUAACGUAGGACCCUAGCUAUACAUCAGGGGUUGCUGCACAGCAGCUCGUUUAGGCCACGUUGCCUCUUACAGUUGGAUUAACUUCUUCUCAAGCAGCUGGCUGCACUCUUGUGCCGUGUUUGAAAGGCCAGUCUGGGAAGAAGCUGAGCAGAAUCUUAGAGGCUUAAGGACUAGACUGAGACUACUCCUCUGACCACCUAGACAGACCAUCUUAAGGUGUGUCUUGUGGGGAUCUGUUCAAGCUCUCAAAUACCACCCUAAGAAGCUAUGUAAGGUGCUAGAGCCUCUUCAUGAAUCCUGACUGCCUCCAGUUCACAACCAGAACCAGCAAUACGCUGCAACGCUGAAAGAAGACAUUGUUCACAGGAAAAAUCCACACACCUGGCAAAGUGCAGAUCUGCCCCACCACAUCCAAAGCUUAGAGUAUUCUGAUCUCAAAAGGUCCAACCCGUGUCCUUCUGGGCAGCUAAGAGACGGUUGCGAGUAACUGAUGACAAAAAUAGCAGCUGACUCCUUCAGGGGAGGAACUCUGCUCCUUGUUCAGCUGCACAACAGUGCAGCCAGUUCUCAGUGGGCACGAAGUGGAUGCCCCAUCGCUGUCUAACUAGCGGUUCUUGCUGGAUGUUGAUCUACGCAAGAGCUGUUUAAUCUUCCUUUCCUGAGCAAACUCACUUAGAAACUAGCCACUGCCCAAUGGCAAGUUAAAGGAUGAAAACCAAUUGCAUGAGAGCUGACUCCAGCUAAAACUGGUAUUAUUUGUCUGGGUACUUGAAACAUUCUGAAGGCUUGCAUCGUUGGUGCCACUGCCCUUUUUUAAACUGCCGGACCAACAAUCAGUCAAUUUAGUUUCUAAUCUGAGAGUUCUUCUAGCCUACCUGCUGGUAAUAAACUCCUUUAUAGCAGUGAAUAACACCUUACAACGGUUCUGGCUGGCUAGGAAAACCUGCACCACCCUGGCAAUCCACCACCAGUGAAUUAGGCUCCCGCCAGCCUCAUUUCUGUCACUUUGUGCGAGCGUUGUGCUAUACCUAGUCCAAAAAUACAACCCAGUACUUCAGGGAACUCCAUCACAUCACCUCAGCAGCAGGGACUGCUGUAAGUCAGUCAAAGCAGACUUCUGCUCUUGGCACUGGCUUCCCACAGCAAUACCAAGUCAAUUAAUUUGACUCCCAGUUCUUGUCAGUGGUCUGAGAUCCAGAUCCUUUAAAAAUCCUCCUAAAGCUCUGUGAUGACAUUUGGCUGACAGCUUUGCCCUUCAGGUAGAGCUGAGCUUUCUAUAAUAAGGUGCAGUUAUUUGCACAAGAGACAGAGAUUUCUUGCAGGAAGAUCUUUAGUUUGUGGGAUUAAUUGCCAUGCAAACUAAAUAACAUCAGAAUCUUCACCCGAUUUUUGAUGCAUGCACAAGGCAUGCUUUUGAGGCUCUGCUGUCUCUAGUAUAAACGCAGUCGAUGUGAAGGAGUAUUGACAAAAGCUGUAGCAGGGAAGGGGAAGCAGGGCUGGUCUAUACUGGGACCAGGUGAUGUUGGUCAAUGGAAGUAGGUAGUCAGCAGGCAGUCAAGUCAAAUGGGUUCCAGACAUCAGAAUUUCUUAAGUCAGUUCCUUCAAUCUGUGCCAACAGCAUGGGAGGAGGUAUUGUGGAAGCAGGAAACAAAUCUGCUUUUUGUCCAGAUAAGGCCAAAAAAGAAGGAACUCUCCAAAAAUGUGAGACAUGAGUUUUAUCAAGGACUGUGUUCCCCCAGCUGCAGCUCUAGCAUCCGGCCUUACUGCUUGCCCUCUUACAACCUUUCUUGUGCCUUCUUGAUGGGGAUUUUUUAUUCCAUAUUAAAACACUGUCCACUAGCAAGAAUGAGGCUGAACCCUCCUGUAUACGACGUGCAUUCCUAGAUAUCACAUUUCAAAAAAGUUCCAGUAGAGCUCAAAUACCUACAGGAAAAGGUCACAAGGAUGAUGAGAAGAACGCAAUGGCUUUCAGGCUAGGUAAGGCUGAAUAGGAUAGGCCCUUGCCUCUUGGAAGAAAAACAAUAGGUAUUGAAGUGACAGAGGUCUAUAAAACUGUGAAUAGCAUGGAGGCAAAUAGGGAACAAUCAUACUCUGUUGCUCAUUAAAAAAGAACUAAAAACAACUAACCAGCAUCAAACAAAAUUAUAAUAUUUUGUAUUCUAAAAGAUACACUAGAGAACAUGUAUUUAAACUAUGUAACGUUGUUUCACUAUGUAUCAGAGGUCAAAAGUGUAUGUAAAUGGUAUAGGAACAGGUCCAUUGAUGGCUAUUAAAAUGAAGACUCAGAUGCAACCUUUUGCACUGCAGUUUCUAAAGCUUUGAUUUUUCAUAAGCUGGGAAGAAAUGUCAGGGUAAAGACUGGUAAAUAAAUGUCCCAUUUCUUAAA